CCCUUAGAUGUUCUGGGCUGCACGCGCGCUACACUGAUGCGUUCAGCGAGUUUAUAACCUUGCCCGGUAGGGUUGGGUAAUCUUCUGAAAACGCAUCGUGAUGGGGAUAGAUUAUUGUAAUUAUUAAUCUUCAACGAGGAAUUCCUAGUAAGCGUGAAUCAUCAGUUCACGCUGAUUACGUCCCUGCCCUUUGUACACACCGCCCGUCGCUCCUACCGAUUGAAUGAUCCGAUGAAUACCAUGGAUUGAGAGUACGAAUAGGUUCGCUUAUUUCUGCUGCUCGAGAAGUGGAGUAAAUCUUAUCAUUUAGAGGAAGGAGAAGUCGUAACA
rnacentral:rRNA from 1 species